rnacentral:rRNA from 1 species
UACGAAGGGGGCUAGCGUUGUUCGGAAUUACUGGGCGUAAAGCGCACGUAGGCGGAUAUUUAAGUCAGGGGUGAAAUCCCAGAGCUCAACUCCGGAAUUGCCUUUAAGACUGCAUCGCUAGAAUUGUGGAGAGGUAAGUGGAAUUCCGAGUGUAGAGGUGAAAUUCGUAGAUAUUCGGAAGAACACCAGUGGCGAAGGCGACUUACUGGACACAUAUUGACGCUGAGGUGCGAAAGCGUGGGGAGCAAACAGG